AAUUCCUCGGAGACUUCGACCAACUUUCACGUUGCUGUAGUCUAGCCUAUCGCCUGCUUCUUAAUACUAUAGUAAUCAAGUCCUUAAUUUGUUUUGUAUAUAUAAAAGCGGAACAACAAGCAGGAUGAGGAACAAUGAAAAUUAACUUGUCUUUCUUCAUACAAAAUGGCAUAGCGAAGCUUUUAUCUUGUAUUUUUAUGCAUUAUCAACUUGCUUUUGUUUCUCUUCUUCUCGUCUGAAACAGUUCUGUCAGCUAGACCUGCACAGGCCCCACUGUCUUCAUCUAAGAAGGUGUCUGCUAUACAAGCCAGAAUCCCGAAACCCAAGGAGAAGAGUGAGCAGCAAAAAUAUUUUGAGGAAAGCAAAGCUUCUGCUAGUGGAAGCGAUUCAGCACCUGCUGGACAGGGACACUAGGGCAGUGGCGUAUCGGUUGAAGGUGUUCUCUUCUUCUAUCAAUUAAGGAUGACUAUUCACGGCCUAAGCCUUUCUAUGCAUGAAAUAGCAGAAUAUGUACUCCAAGAAACAUCAAAUUUUUGUUAUUUAUGGGUUAAUAUACUGUAUUAAUUUAAUUUGUUAAAAUAAAAUUUGUCAACUUUAAUAUUA